rnacentral:rRNA from 1 species
GACAGAAGGUGCAAGCGUUGCUCGGAAUCACUGGGCGUAAAGGGUGCGUAGGCGGGUCUUUUAAGUCAGGGGUGAAAUCCUGGAGCUCAACUCCAGAACUGCCUUUGAUACUGAGGAUCUUGAGUUCGGGAGAGGUGAGUGGAACUGCGAGUGUAGAGGUGAAAUUCGUAGAUAUUCGCAAGAACACCAGUGGCGAAGGCGGCUCACUGGCCCGAUACUGACGCUGAGGCACGAAAGCGUGGGGAGCAA